AUGAUCCCCCCCAAACCCUGGCUUUGGGAGAGUGGGCGCUGGAGCCUCUCCGGCUGCUCUCCGAGAAGGGAAAGUUUGCGCCUGGGUUCCCAGGGCUGUGUGAACGCCGCGCAGCUGUACUUUGGAGCUGGUUCCAAGCUGACUGUGCUGGCGGCGGGUUUUUGCGCGGGGCUGGGGGGCCGUGACUCAGAGACGCAGUACUUCGGGCCGGGCACGCGGCUCCUGGUGCUAGACGAUCUGAGCCGGGUGCACCCGCCCAAGGUGGCUGUGUUCGAACCCUCGGAAGCAGAGAUCUCCCGGACCCAGAAGGCCACCCUCGUGUGCCUGGCCACGGGCUUCUACCCCGACCACGUGGAGCUGACCUGGUGGGUGAACAGGAAGCAGGUCACCACUGGGGUCAGCACGGACCCUGAGCCCUACAAAGAGGACCUCACGCAGAAUGACUCCAGAUACUGUCUGAGCAGCCGGCUGAGGGUGACCGCCGCCUUCUGGCACAACCCCCGCAACCACUUCCGAUGCCAAGUCCAGUUCUACGGGCUCACGGACCAGGACCAGUGGGAGGAGCAGGACAGGGCCAAGCCCGUCACCCAGAACAUCAGCGCUGAGACCUGGGGCAGAGCAGACUGUGGUGUCACCUCCGCGUCUUAUCAGCAAGGCGUCCUCUCUGCCACCCUCCUCUAUGAGAUCCUGCUGGGGAAGGCCACCCUGUACGCUGUGCUGGUCAGCGCCCUGGUGCUGAUGGCCAUGGUCAAGAGAAAAGAUUCCUGAAGCCAGCUUCCAGCCUGUUACUGCCCUGAUGGGAAUUCUGCUUUUCCCUUUCCUACCCAGCGCUUCUGAAGAGCUGCCCUCAUCUCUGGACUCAGCCUAGCGUCCACCCCCAUGUGCGGGUGCCCCAAACUCUCAGGACCAGGAUCUCCCUAACCCAGGGGAGAC